rnacentral:rRNA from 1 species
UACGUAGGGUGCAAGCGUUGUCCGGAAUUAUUGGGCGUAAAGAGCGCGUAGGCGGCCCGAUUAGUCCGCUGUGAAAGUCCAGGGCUCAACCCUGGAAUGCCGGUGGAUACUGUCGGGCUAGAGUCCGGAAGGGGCGAGUGGAAUUCCUGGUGUAGCGGUGAAAUGCGCAGAUAUCAGGAGGAACACCAAUGGCGAAGGCAGCUCGCUGGGACGUGACUGACGCUGAGACGCGAAAGCGUGGGGAGCAAACAGG